GAUUUCGUGGUGUAACGGUAGCGCACUCGACGCGUAUUCGAGAGGUCCAGGUUCGAGUCCCGGUGAGGACA
rnacentral:tRNA from 1 species